rnacentral:lncRNA from 1 species
GCCACCGGGCCUGCCCUGGACCAACGUUCUUCUAACAGGACGAAUAUGCUUAACUCGUAUGAAACUGGACUGCAGUCUGCUCUAAAGGUGUGCCUCCUUCUUUGGCGAAUUUAUAAGGAAGUCCCCACAGCCCUCAGGACAGAGACUGAACAAGGGAUGUGACUGCUGUGAAUACUCCCAGCCAAAGGCCAUCAGGACACCCGGAGUUGAACAAGGGGUUAGAAAUUGCCCUGAAGGAAGAGGUGGACAACUCUGCCAGACACUGGGAAGAUCAGUGCGGAACACACGGCCAGGAUCCAGCCAGUCAGAACUGACUCCCCCAUCAAUCACAUCUUUGCAGAAAAAUCUACACCAGAGCUUGCUAGAUUCCUAGUAACUCAUGAUGGUGUUAACUGUUGGGGUCUGUACUACGUUUAUCAGCUGUAACAGUCACUGCUAAGGUUUGCAGUUUCCUUUCUGUUGCCAGCGGGAUCACGAGUCCACCGGGAGAAAUGAACAACUCCAGACGCGUGGUCUUAAGAGCUGUACCACUCACCAUGAAGCUCUGUGGCUUCACUUCUGAAUCCAGGGAGGCCACGAACCCACCAGAAGGUAGAAACUGUGAACCCGUUCAAACAUCAGAAGGAACGAACUGGACACGUUGUUCUUAAGAAGUGUAACACUGAUCGUGAGGGUCUGUGGUUUCAUUCAUGAAGUCAGUGAGACGAGGAACCCACCAAUUACAGACACAGUAUGAUGAACCAAAAACCCCAACACUUCCCUGCCAUAAAACAGGAAUCAAAUGAGGCCAGUAACAAAGACAGUUUGAGUCCAGGGCACUGAGUGAAGGCACUAGAUAUGCUGGGACUCAUCAUUGCUUUGGAACAGGGACAGGAUCUGGGUACGAAGUUUCUACCGCUCUUGUGGUGGGGAGUUGGGUUGGGCAUCACUUUCAUACGGCGAGAGGAAACGGUGGUGUCAUCUAUGUUAGCACUGGCUGCAGUGGAGCUUAAAAAACAUGUUGCAAGCUCUCACAUGGGUUCAAGUCUGAAUUUCCACUGCUACGUGGUCUGAAAACUGCAAGCAGGAAUUUACAUUUAAAGCACAUGGAGUCUAUAGUAUCCCCAGGUACUUCAGAGAAGCAAAUAUCAAUACUCCCUCGAGGAGUAAGUCUUCAAACAAGGCUUCCAAGCACCCCACAGGGUUAGUGGCACCAACUUUUAACUACUGUAACUAAUAAGGAGAAGCCAAGGGUACAUAUGAAGAAGUUGUUUAUGAGCAUUUGCCAACAAAAAAAGACCUGCAAAGACGUCAGAUACUGUAAGAACAGAAUACAGAAUAUAAAAUGGGUAUUCUUAAUAUGUUUCAAUGAGUAAAGGCAGAAAUAAGGUGAAGAGUCAGGAUGAAGGGAUCACCGAAGAUGAGCAGACAAAUUUGGGCAAAACUAGAAAUGUAAACUAUAAUAAUUGAAGUAAAAAGAAAACUCAAUGGAAGGGUUAAAAAAUUGCUGGAGAUGAGAGAACAAUUAGUAAACUCAGUUAUUCAAAAAUUAUACUAUUACACAAAGAGAUCAAUACAUUAAAAAUAGAAAAGUUUAAGAGACAAGUAGAAAAUCCACCGUACAUAUAAUCAGAAUUUGAGAGGCAGAUUGUUGAAAAAAAAUGCAAGGAAUAAAUUUUUUUUUUUUUUUUUUUUUUUGAGAUGGUCUCACCCUGCUGCCCAGGCUGGAGUGCAGUGGUGUGAUCUCGGCUCACUGCAAGCUGUGCCUCCCAGGUUCAAGCGGUUCUCCUGCCUCAGCCUCCUGAGUAGCUAGGAUUACAGGCACACGCCACCACGCCCAGCUAAUUUUUGUAUUUUUAGUAGAGACAGGGUUUCACCAUAUUGUCCAGGCUGGGCUCGAUCUCCUGCCUCGGCAUCCCAAAGUGCUGGGAUUACAGGCGGGAGCCACUGCACCUGGCCAAAAUAUUUCAAGAAGUAAUGACCAGUGUUUCUGGAAUGAAUGAAAGACCCAAAUCCAUCGUGUGUCUUUCAUUCCAUUUGAUUUCUCAUUUGGUUUUUCUUUUUGCAGCUGGGAAGUUUCAGGGUUAUUGGCUCAUCAUAGUACCAAAUCAUGACAGAUCCAAAGAAAGACAAAUAAAAGCCAGUCAAUAUUAGGACAUAUUAACAGUGCAACAGCAGAACAACAUAAACAAUAAGGGAUCGUGAAAGAAGAGACACUUUGCCACCGGGCGUGGUAAAUAAGCAUAUGUAAAGAUGAUGUCAACAUCUUGUAUCACCAAGUAUUACAAAUUUUUAAAAAAGGAAAUAGCACUACACACCUAUUAAAAAGGGGAGCAGGCAGGGUGUGGUGGCUCAUGCCUGUAGUCCUAGCACUUUGGGAGGCCGAGGCCGGCAGGUCACUUGAGGUCAGGAGUUUGAGACCAGCCUGCCCAACAUGGAGAAACCCCGUCUCUACUAAAAAUACAAAAGUAUUCGGGCGUGGUGGCAGGCACCUGUAAUACCAGCUACCUGAGAGGCUGAGUCAGGAGAAUCGCUUGAACCCGGGAGGCGGAGGUUGUGGUGAGCUGAGAUUGCGCCACUGCACUGCAGCCUGGGCAACAAGAGCCAAACUCCGUCUCAAAAAAAAAAAAAAAAAAAAAAAAAAAGGGUGAGCAUCCCAAACACCAAUGCUGGCAAGAAUGUGUAGCAAUAGGAACUCUGAUUCAUUGUGCUGGGAGUGGAUGUACUCAUAAAAUGGUACUGAUACCAUGGAGGGCAGUUCGGUGGUUUCCUAUAAAACUAAACAUUCUUUUACUACAUAGUCCGGCCAUUAUGCUCCUUGGUAUUUACCCAAAUGAACACAUCAAUGUUUAUAGUAGCCUUAUUUGUAAUUGCCAAAGCUUAGAAGCAACUAAGAUGUUGUUCCUUAGGUUAAAAAAGAAAAGAAACUGUGGCACCUCCAGACAAUAGGAUAUUAUUUAGUGCUAAAAAUAAAUAAGCUACCAAGUGACAACACCACAUGGAGGAAUGUUAACUGCGUAUAAAUGACAGAAACAAAAACCAAUCCGAAAAGGUGAUGCACUGCAUGAUUCCAGUCAUGUGAUGCUUCGGAAAAGGCAAAACUAUGGAAAUGGUAAAAAGGUCAGUGGUUGCCAGAGGUUAAGGAUAAAGAGAGAUGAUUAGGUGGAGAACAGAAGAUUUUUAGGAUAGUGAAACCAUUUUGUCUGAUAAUAUAAUGGUGGAUAUGUGUGAUUAUACAUUUGUUAAAAACCAUGGAAUGUACAACCCUAAGAGAGAACCCUAAUAUAAACCAUGAAAUUUGAAUAAUAAUGAUGUAUCAUUGCAGGUCUGUAGAUUUGUCAAAUAUGCACCACUGUCGUGGGGGAUGGUAGUAGUGGGGUAGGUUGUGUGUGUAUAGGGACCAAGGGUAUAUGAGAACUCUCUGUACUUUCUGAUCAAUUUUGAUGUGAAGCUAAAACUGGUCUAAAAAAUAAAGUUUAUUAAAUUAC